AAAGUAGCCUGAGCGGUGUGAAGUGAGCUGAUGUCAGCAGUGGUUCCCCACGCAGCUUGCGACUGUCUCCCAUAGCACAUCUCCUUGGACUGAGCAUAUGAAUUUAGUCUACUCAAGUUUGGAGGAGGGGAUGAAGAUUCUUUCCAGAAGCUCCAACCUUGACGAGAGAGUAGGAAAUACGUCUCCGCUUUGACAGGAACAAUGUGUGACGUGAAAGACCUCAGAUGCUGUGCAGGUUUGUGACGGUUCUUCAGAAGAAAGCACCUCCUGCCUGUUCUGUUCAAUGCCAGUCCAGGUGAGUCACUGCCAGCCAAGCAAGUAUUUUAAGACAUGAGGAAUCUAAGCCAGAACCA